CAAUAAACAUCACAUAUUCUCUAAUUGAAUACAAAACCACUGUUGAUUUAAUUGUUUAAUGGCUCCAGUUUACCUGUGACCCUAAGAAGAGCUGCCCUCAGCAAUCAUGGCUUCCUGUUCAAUGUUGAUCCACACAAACAUCAACCAAGACAACACCGGAGGGAA